rnacentral:rRNA from 1 species
AUACGGUGAAUACGUUCCCGGACCUUGUACACACCACCCGUCAAGCCAUGGAAGCUGGGUGUACCUAAAGUCGGUAACCGUAAGGAGCCGCCUAGGGUAAAACUAGUAACUGGGGCU